GAUGAACGCUGGCGGCGUGCCUAAUACAUGCAAGUCGAGCGAACAGACGAGGAGCUUGCUCCUCUGACGUUAGCGGCGGACGGGUGAGUAACACGUGGAUAACCUACCUAUAAGACUGGGAUAACUUCGGGAAACCGGAGCUAAUACCGGAUAAUAUAUUGAACCGCAUGGUUCAAUAGUGAAAGACGGUUUUGCUGUCACUUAUAGAUGGAUCCGCGCCGCAUUAGCUAGUUGGUAAGGUAACGGCUUACCAAGGCAACGAUGCGUAGCCGACCUGAGAGGGUGAUCGGCCACACUGGAACUGAGACACGGUCCAGACUCCUACGGGAGGCAGCAGUAGGGAAUCUUCCGCAAUGGGCGAAAGCCUGACGGAGCAACGCCGCGUGAGUGAUGAAGGUCCUCGGAUCGUAAAACUCUGUUAUUAGGGAAGAACAAAUGUGUAAGUAACUAUGCACGUCUUGACGGUACCUAAUCAGAUAGCCACGGCUAACUACGUG
rnacentral:rRNA from 1 species